rnacentral:rRNA from 1 species
UACGAGUGGUCCAAGCGUUAGUCGGAAUCACUGGGCUUAAAGGGUGCGUAGGCGGACCAUCAAGUGUCUUGUGAAAUCCCACGGCUCAACCGUGGAACUGCAGGGCAAACUGGUGGUCUUGAGGAAGCUAGAGGUCGACAGAACGAUCGGUGGAGCGGUGGAAUGCGUAGAUAUCGAUCGGAAUGCCAAAGGUGAAGACAGUCGACUGGGGCUUUCCUGACGCUCAGGCACGAAAGCGUGGGGAUCAAACAGG